rnacentral:rRNA from 1 species
CGCGUAGGCGGUUAUUUAAGUCAGAGGUGAAAACUACCGGCUCAACCGGUAGCCUGCCUUUGAAACUGGAUAACUUGAGGGCAGGAGAGGGGAGUGGAAUUCCCAGUGUAGCGGUGAAAUGCGUAGAUAUUGGGAGGAACACCAGUGGCGAAGGCGGCUCUCUGGCCUGUUUCUGACGCUGAGGCGCGAAAGCGUGGGGAGCGAACGGG